UGGAGUGCGGACAGCUUUUUCCUCCCUUCAGCCUGUCAGAGACCCAGAGCAGUGGAGUGGGGAAGCGGCGAAGUUGUGGAACAGCAGCUGCAGUGCUGAGCUGCGCUGCACCGUUUGAGGGGCUGGCAACCACGACCACAUGAUUGGCCUAAUGAUACAGUGAAAGCUGGAUAUGGGCCUGGUCUGGAAGCAGCAAAUGGGUGUUCUGAUCCAAUAUACAGGCUGGGGAGCACAUGGCCCCGUGGAGCAGAAACAGAGCCUUAGAAGGAUGAAUAUGAACUCAGCCUGGAUGCCUGAUCAGCUAGUAAAUCAGUCUAGAAGCAUUUGGAAAAUCUGACCUAAAGAUUGGAGAAAGGGUUUUAGAACAAAGGAUCGGCCCCAUCUGGACCCUGCCUUCCUCCUCCACACGCCACAUGAUUUCAUGAUAUGACAACAUUUUCCAGGGCAGAUAUCUUCACUUCCUUCAGCAAGGCAGAAUGCAUAAUGGAUACAGCAUGAGAUUUGGGUUCCAGCCAUCCUCAUUCAUCUUCUUAGUCAUCGCUCAGAUUGGAGAUUUCUGCCUCCUCAGAGAUUACUUCGCAGCCUGUACUAGGUCCCCUUUCUUCUCUCUCAAAGUACUUGGUAUUUUACUUCAAAGCACUUAUCAGCGGUGUGCCUUUAUAUUUACUUGCAUGAUUAUUGAGCAAUGCCUGUCUUUCCUACUAGACUUUCUGCAUCAUGUAAGAAAAAACCAUGAUUGUUUACCAUUUUAACCCAUUCCACAUCACAGGCUCUGGCACAUAGUAAGUAUAAAAUAAAAUAAAAAUUUUAAAGGUAAAAUAAAAUACAUAAAGGUUUUUCUUCCCAUUCAUGCUUUCCUAUAACUCAUAAGGCAGGCAGUAUGAACUAAAGACUACUUGGUAAAAUGUUUUGAAUAAAUGACAAUGUCUUUUAGAAUUUUCAAGGUUGAAGAUUUCCACAGAGAAACAAAUUUACAGAUUUCUGUUUCAAAUUUUCAGGCAGUUCACAAUAUAUGGAGCCCUUCGGAGGUGUGUCAGUUCCGAGGAACAGGGCGCAGCAGUAAGAGAGAGUCUUUGGGAGUAGGAGGGGGAGGGAGGGUGACAAGUAGUGCAUCACUCUUGCUCAAAAGAGAUGGCAACUGCAGAUCCCAAUUGCAAUGCUGUAUUUAACUUUGGGCGUUCAGCUUUAAAAGGGAUGUUGACAAACUAGGGGAUGAUAUGGGGACAAUAAAAACUGGUAAUGUCAUUGAGGGAUGGUUGGAAAAAUACGUUUUAAAAGAAUUCAGGUUGGGGAACAGGUAUAAUUGUCUCCAACUAUUAAAAGAGUUGUGAUGUAAAAGAAGAAUUAACCUUUCCUAUGGUCCCCAAAGCAGAAUAAGGAACAAUUCAUGUCAGUUAAACGGAAUAGCUGGCACUGUCUGAGGAUGGAAGGGAAGUCUUGUAACACCGUGAACUUGUUCCACUGGUGUUUACCCAGAGUCUGCUAUUGCACUUGGGAGUAAUGCCGACCUAGAGGAGAGGCUGCGUUUUAGGGCUCUGUGGCACUUGGCAGAGCCCUGCCCUUAGCACCAGAUGGCAGGCAGCGAACCUGCCAGUACUCAGCUCAUACUCGUUUGUGGAACAGAAAAGGAACCACCUGUAUCACAGGCUCUGUGGGUACAAUAUGACAAUUUCUAAAAUUUGAAAGCACAUUCCGAGACUUAAAUUUGUGUUGGGCUAACUAAAUAUCAGGCAUUAUUAAAUGAAGAUGUCUUAAUUUCAAACUUUGACUGUUAUACACAUACAAGCCAGGGCUGUCAUUUUCUCUUUCCAUGCGUCUGAUUCAGUCUCUUCUAUCCAUUGCUGUCUGAGUCCUUACUCCUUGAUCCUGCUCAACUAUGCCAACUGCUGGGUGCACAGGUCCUUCUUUGCUGGGGGACACUGGGGAGUGGAUGAAGGAAGAAGACAUGAGAAGUCAUAGGCAUAUAGGAGAGUCUUUACUGCAGACCAAGUAGCCAUUGCUACGAAGGAGCCUUCAGACAAAAUAGUUCUUCAAAGUUGCCUCAUAAAGUAGCCGCACAAACAUAGCAGCCAUUGCUAACAAAGCAGUCCAGCCAAGCAGCCUAGCUCUACAUAAAAGCAUCCUCAUACCAGCUGGUCAGUAACACACUUUAUACCAACUUAGACAAAAGAGGCUUCUUGCCAAAUAGUGAAAUCAGUAUUUGGGUUAUAGAAAAAUACACCUGUGCAGUGUACACAGUACAAUCAUUGUGUCCUUGCUCAGAUUGGCUUUGAAUAUCUGGCAUACUCUCUGGACAGGGCCCCCACAAUUGCCUAACUCCCCACACUUACCAGAACAUUUGGGAGGAAUGCUUUUUCAAAGAAUAUUGUGUCCUGUACUCCAACUUGUGCCAAAAACACUGUUAUAUGGUUUCCAAAUUCUGUAUUAUAGUCC